AUGCGGACGAGCAAUUUGAAGAUGGGGAGUUCAUGUGUAUGACUACAUUACCGUUGUUGAGUCCUCGGAUUAGUGCAUUGCAUGGAGGGAUAACCUUGCUCAUUAAGUCAGUGAUUGAGAUUAGACCUGGCAUUUUUCACCUGAUCCGUUAAUCUGACCCGACCCAAUCCUUUAAAAUUAGUAUUGGAUGAGUGAUAAAUGAGUCGAGUGAUCAGUUAAAUAACGAAUCAUUUUGGAUGAACCCGUUAAGACCCGUUAUUGAGGACUUUUGUGUAAUUUCAACAGUCCUAAUAGAAAACCCUCAGGUUCCUCCUCACGUCUCUCUCUUGCACCGUCGCACGACUUUGCUCUCUGAGACUAAGAGAUCGCUCAUCGGCCAUCGAUGUGCUCCUUCCCUUCCAACUCCACCACUCUCUCUCUGCUCUAGGUGUUCAUCAAAUCACUCCAUGACUUGCAUAUGCACACAAACCGAACGAAGGAAGGAGGUGGCUAGCACAAGCACCAGGAUGCUAACAAAGAGUGAAACGGGUGUAACUUAUUUGGAUGAAGAAAAAAAAAAAAAAGGGUUAACGGGUGAAACGGGUUGAAACGGAUGACCCAUUAGGUUAACGAGUUGGGUUCGGAUGACCCGUUAGCUUAACGGGUCGGGUUCAACCCGACCCAUUUACAAGUCUAAUUGAGAUGUGCCCUUUUGUUUUAAGUUGACGAAGACAUUAGUUGUCCUUUUCAAUUGUAAUUUUUGUAAUAACAUUUGGAUUGUUUCUUUUGUUUCAAGUUAAGAAAGUCACCACUGUCUUAUGUAAUAACAUUUGGAAUGAAAUGCCUAUGAUUUCUAUAUUGUAA